AAAUGAAACAGCAUUUUUACAAGCACAAACAUAAUCUCACAUAGUAAUAUACAAAAUGUCAGCGGAAUAUGAAGGAGUCAUAGCUGAAGAGGAAGAAGUCUUACAAAAUCCAAUUAAUUAUAUUGUUUUCUUCUUUGAGAAUUACGGAUGGUGAAUAAGUCCAUUAAUCUCGAGGAAUAUGAAAAGAAAAGGGAUAUAAUGAGUAAUGAGUUUGAACAGAAUGUCGAAAAAGAUAGUUUUUUUUACCUUUAAAGUAUUGUACAGUUUGUUAAUAAUUGUUCAUCAUUUUUCCUUGAGAAACUGAUAAAUUGUCAAGUCUAAGAAUUGCCAGGGAAGAAGCACUGAAGAACAAGAACAGUACCUACAAUAUCGACGCUGAACGAUAUGUCCUGAAACAAAAAGAGAAAGAAGCUAAAAAGCGUGAGGAAGGAGGUGGAAGUAAACUAGGAAAAUCAGGUUAUGCACGAUCAAACCUAGAAAGAAAUCUGCAUGCUCAGGAGGUGGCUGCAGUAAAUAACAUAUUAUAUUUAAAUCUGUGAACCAGAGUUUACUAUAAAAAAAUUCCAUAAAUUAAUACAUUCAUAUUUAGCAUAUCAAGGAGACAAUAAUUUAAUAAUUGACAAAUGAUAUGUUUGAAGUGCACUUGUUAGAUUGACUAAUAUUUUGAUUAUUGAACAAUAAAAUACAACAUGAAAUCAAAAUACUAAACUAGUUGUUUGGAAAUCUCCUUCUUCGAUUAACGAUUUGCUUGACAAUUUCUAUUUUGAAGCUUCUUUAAUCAUUUGUAAAUUGUGUAGAAUUUGUUAGCAUUUCAAAUGUUCAUUUCACAGUCCACUA